AUGGGUGUGAGUGCAUCUAACUAUCCUCAUUCAUGUUCCCUGAGAAUAGGAGGAAAUUCACAUGUCCACGAGACUUUUAUAGAAACAUCAUUCUAUUCUCAGCAAGGCUAUGGUUGUGAAUCAAAAUUGUAUAGCCUCGCCCAAGGCCAUGAGAAACCGUGACAGGAGAAAAAAAAAAGGAAUUUCUGGACUUGCCACCCUCAAAAAAAAGUUUAUUAAAUGCUGAAAAUCUAAUUGAUCUGCUGAUCAAGAAGAACUGAUCAGCCAAGAACUGUUGCAAGAAUUGUUUUCUGUUUGGGAUGUUACAGAUGUCAAUGCAUUAGUAGAGGAAUAUGAGAGAACUUCAGCCUUAAAGGAGUUUUCUCUAUAAGUCAAUUUGACUAGACCAGAAGCUGAGACAUUGCAGAAUAAUAUGGCUGAUCUUUAUGCGAAGCUAUAUGUACUGAUAUAGACCUGAUAUUUCAUGAAACUUGUUUUACUGUUCAUUGUACCAUUUUUGGCAGCAAGAUUUCCAUUUUUAAAAACACUGCUUUGUUUCUCACCUAAAUGUGGGGCAAAAAUAAUAAUGGACAUCAAUACAGUUUGUAUUAAUAUGCCCAUGUUUUCUGCUUUAUUACUGG
rnacentral:lncRNA from 1 species